rnacentral:pre_miRNA from 1 species
AUCACCUGGGGAUCUUGUUAAAAUGCAGCUUCUGUUUCAGAAAGUCCUGGGUAGGGUCUUUGAGUCUGCAUUUCUAAUAAGUCUCCAGGUGAUACCAA